GACGAACGCUGGCGGCGUGCUUAACACAUGCAAGUCGAACGGAAAGGCCUCUUUCGGGGGGUACUCGAGUGGCGAACGGGUGAGUAACACGUGAGUAACCUGCCCUUGACUUUGGGAUAACUUCAGGAAACUGGGGCUAAUACCGGAUAGGAGCUCCUGCUGCAUGGUGGGGGUUGGAAAGUUUCGGCGGUUGGGGAUGGACUCGCGGCUUAUCAGCUUGUUGGUGGGGUAGUGGCUUACCAAGGCUUUGACGGGUAGCCGGCCUGAGAGGGUGACCGGCCACAUUGGGACUGAGAUACGGCCCAGACUCCUACGGGAGGCAGCAGUGGGGAAUAUUGCACAAUGGGUGGAAGCCUGAUGCAGCAACGCCGUGUGCGGGAUGACGGCCUUCGGGUUGUAAACCGCUUUCGCUCAUGACGAAGCUUUGUGUGACGGUAGUGGGUAAAGAAGCACCGGCUAACUACGCG
rnacentral:rRNA from 1 species